UCAUUAGUUCAUGUUAACUAAUGUAGUUAAAGAGCACCUAUUAUGAGAUACACGUUUUUAAACAUCCUUUUGUGUGUAAGUGUGUAUUAGUACAUGCUAACGAUAUUCAAAAAGUACAUACCUCAAAGAAAACGAUGACGCGAGUUAUCGUCUCUAACGUUCGAGGACUACAAAAAACACUCGGAUUGUAGGCAACAGUUUACUUCCUGGGAUUAGUGACGUAGAGAAGACCAACAUUAUCAUAGUUCAGCCCUCUCUGCUUCGCUUGGGUACGCCCUCAAAGACGGGGGUGGAGAGCGCUGAGUCAGAAGAGAGCUAAAAUGGCGGAGGUUGGGAGUCCCUGCUUUGACCCUGUUUGCAAACUCUUGUUUCAUCAUUUAAGCGAUUAAAUCUCUCGAGUAGACGCUGUCUCUUUAGAUGCAAGGGCAAAAUAGCACUUUAUGGACUUACACAGAGGACAUCAUGUUUAAUACGGUUCCGGAAAAAUCCAGUCAGAAGUUGUUCACGGAGUUUUCACAAUAACUGCUUCUUAUGAACCGAAGCUGGAUUUGCGCGACGUUUCCUCUUGAAAGUUGGAUUACCGUGCACUUCUGGAUCACAGGCUAUUCGCAGCUGGACACAUCCUUCUACACUGUAUGCAAACAUGCAACAUCAUUACACACAGUACAAGGCAUAUGAGGAGCAAAGGAACCCAGGCAGUAGCAUCGUUUCACAAUGUUUCAAUCACCAUCAUCAGUUGAUGCCUUUGCCGUCCGUAGCCUGAGAUUUCAAAUUUGCAGCAAAAAAUUUGACUUUCCCAUUUAUUGGAAUGCUGUGCAUGUAUUUAAGUAUUUUAGUAACUGUGUUAAAAUAAAGUACGGUAGUGUUUACUUUUAAAAUAAAUGUAUUGCUUAUUUAUAUUUUUACAGGUUAUACCUUACAGCCGUCCAUUACAAUGUCACCAAGCCGUAACAAAAGCAGGAGAGGUAAAGUACAAGGCUAUGUUCCCAAAACACACAAGUGACAUACUUUAUGUGGAUGAUGUGAUCAGGCUUGUGUUUGAUGAGGUAUUUGAAGAUAAGCUGAAGGAAACCCCGAUUCCAAUGGACCUGGCAUCACAGUUUGAGAGACCUUCAAAGGAGGAUGUGAUUGCAUGCCAUCUUCAGUGCAGGGGUCGUCGGAAGCCAACAUUCCGAUCAGGAAGCUCCAAGCAUAUCUGGAGAACAACAUACGACAGGAUGAUAACCCUAAAGUGUCGUCUUAAAUAGCACCAGCUGACAAAGCUUUGAUAUGCCAUUUAUCUGAAUAGAUAAUUUUUGAGAGAAGAGCACAAUAUGGUUACUAAAGUAUGUUUAUUUGUAUAUUGUUUAACAUUUAAAUAUAUAUUUGUAAUAAAUAAAAAAACUUUUGACUGACUACUAUAUUUUCUUUAAAGUUACAUCUUUUGUUCUUUUGGGUACUUUGUUACUAUAAUAAUACUUUAGUGUUAUUGGUUUAAAAAUGUAAUAAAACUUACUCUA